UAACAAUUGACAAGAUAGAACAAACAUGGGAACGUAGGUGGGCAAUAAACAUAGCAGUACAACUACUAUAAAGUAGAAUUUCAAUAAGCAGGUCACACAGAUCUAGAGACGAAACCAAGCUGUGUUUACAAACUCCUGUUUAUACAAGAUGAACUUUCGCUGCAUACUCGUUCUUUUGUUCCUGAUUUCAGCAAGCCAUCAUGUUAAUUCACAGAAUUUUGCACCGUUUUUAGGAGGACUAUUUUUAGGUGGUUUGUUCAAUCGAUUUCAGUCACUUCCACCACCACCAAUAUACUCACCACCUUUCUACUACCCACAGUUUCAGCCUGGAUUUGGUCGAUUUGGAUAAAUGAAUAAAUUUAGACGGUUUAUCAGUGCUGUACAUCUAACAUCUAGAAGAAACCAUUUGUUAAUGAAAAUGUGAGAAAACAGAAGAGAGAAAAAUGACAUCCAUUCACUUCUACAGUAACUGUUGUGUCUUUUUUUAUUAUUAAAUUCUAAAUUAACUUUA